UUACCUAUGUGGUUGAAUGAGGUUUUGUUAUUUUUAUAUUCCCUCAUCGUUCACAGCGCUACAUGCCUCUUUCACUCAUUUACCACAUCCUUACAGACUUACAAUAAGUUAGUUUUUUUUGUUUACACUAGAAAUUCCCUAGAAAUUUUAUAUAUGGCAAAAGAACGUUUGCGGGGUCAGCUAGCAGUAUUAUAAACAUUUAUAUAGAAUUAAUGCUUAUGGCAACAAAAAUGAACAAAACUUUCGUGUCAACAAUCAGUUAUACAAAAUUCAUUGUCAACAACCUCAUUGGACCGCUGACCGGUAGCUCUAUGACCCUUCAAAUGGGCGACAAAUUUUUAAUCGGGUCGUCUUAAUAUUUAUAUCUGCUUCCAUUCUAUUCGAAUCGUGUUGCUUGAUCUUAAAAAAAUACAAGUAAUUUUGGAUUUGAAGUCCUCCACUGAACUCACCAGACCUUGUACCUUCCUUAUCGAUAAUUUCAAGCACCCAUCUUUUUCAUUAUCUUCCUACAAUGGUCACUAAAAUGCAAUUGUGAAUUUGCUUUCCUCUCUCAAGAUGGACGGCAGCAAUUUUGUUUGAUACCCUGUCUUCUGUGUCUCUUAAGUCGAGGUGGACUAUGAUCUCGUACUUUUAUGUAGAGGAAUGAAUAAAAAAAAAUAGAAUAGUAUCGAUUCACAAUGUGCCCCAUCACUAGUAAUAACGUGAUCACUCUAAAGUAUUACAGCUGAAGUAAUUUUUAUCAACUCGUACUGUACAUACUUGCGUAUUUUUGCUUCAAGUUAACAGAGAUCACGGCAAAGCUGCUCGCUCGUACGGAGCGCGUCUCGACGUUGACAAAUUGCCCUCUCCUGAACACCAGGGGAAAUUAUUUAAAGCACUCACAAUCCCUGCGGAUACAAUGUUCAUAUAAUUUUAUAAGCUAAACAUUUCCGCUAAAGUUUACAAACUCAUAAUCGUUAUUGAUGUUAACAAAUUGCUGUAUCGACCGAAUCGUCUGGUCAAGUUGUGGGCUUGUCGCUAUUUCGUCAAGCUACCUAGUCAUCCUAGUCUUCGUUCUAGUCAUUUUAUCAAAACAUUUGGGCUGCCACUGAACAGCUGUUUGACUGAUUGGUCGAAAUCCAGAAACAAUUAAGAACUCAAACGUGCCGCACUAAUAUUACGAGAUAAGGAAGGGGAUGCGAAACCGCCAUACCAUGAUAAUUUUUUGGGGCCGGUGACCGAGUCUUUACUCGAGGUCCCUCACGCGUUUGUGUAUGGGGCUGUCGUAGUCAACAAUGAGUCCUCUCAUUCAAUCAUCCUUUUAACAGACUGCAUUACAUAAUUUAAACAAGCAUAUCCCGUGAAAGUCACACGCAUAUUCGCAAAUAGCUUUCAUGGGAAAACAAUAACAUGUAAUAAGAUUAUUAAACCUUAAUUUAUGCUUGAAAGUUUUAUUUUUGCGUGAUUUGUUACACUAGGAUGUCUUGUGAGUCCACACGAAUAACUAUCACUGGCCUGCCUAUUUCUAAUGUGAAGAGGUAAUGCGUUCCGGUUUGAAGCCGGAAAUUGAAGCCGAAAUUUAUAUUUAGACUACAUAUCUCGAGAUGGUGGGUUACCACCCAUGCCAUCGUCUUCACGUAGCGAUUGCUAUGGGUGGCUGUAACCCCUUAACACCAGAUGGGCCGUGAGCUCUUGAACUUUUCAAGCAAUAAAUUAAACAUAAUAAAAUGAUUACGAACGAGAAAAGACUUUGCUGAACCUAAUGAAAAUAAUGAAUCAAAAAAAUCGGCUAACAAUAAAUAAGCACCUAACAGUUCACAUCAUUUCACCGGUUGCUUUUGGCAGCUUCGUAUCUGAUAAAUGCAUGCACCAUUCUGUUUAACAUUCGAAAUCUUUCACAAAUCCAAUUCACUAACUUUUCGUCGCUUUUGAGAGAAAAAAUGCCCUUUUUCUAUGAACUUGACAUGGCUUAAGCGUUAGAUGAACUUAUAUCUAAUGACUACACUGAUGUUCGAUAUUUUUUUGUCACUGUCAUUAUUUUGGUGUACCUAAAUGCAAUAAAGUGUUUUUGUAUUAUAUUGUAUUGUGUUGGGCUGUGGGAUGGUGUUAAUGAUAGUAAAUUUAAAUGAGGUUUUUACCCGUUUUUAGAGAGAGAGAGAGAGAGAGAGAGAGAGAGCGGUUCUAAGACAGAUAGUGUAGUCUAGUAACUAACUUAAUUUGUCACUGGAUUUCUCCUGAACGAUUUUGAUGAAAACAUUUGUGUGUGUUUGAUCAGGUAAGUGGCACUGUAAUCGUAACUAUAAGGACUAUAUUUGCCGUAUUCACUAGUCUAAUAAGUAAAUAAAUGCGAAUCUGUGUACCUCUUUAUUUGUUCAUGAUAUAUUCAUUCAAUCAUUACGUAUUUGAUUGGUUUGGAACUUGAUAUCGCUAUUGUUGGCACUUCAGACAAGGCCAUAGUCAAAGUAUCAUUAAUAUAUGAUUCAUUUCGCGAAAGUGGUAAGAUCAGACAGUGACAAUCAUAGUUGAGUACGGUCGUAUUGUAAAGGACUUUAAUUAUAUAAACACUGUGUGAAUUUACUGAUAAUAACGAUGAUGUUUUCAUAAAUUAAAAAUUGCGUUUACCGCUGCGUAAAAAGAAGAAGAAAAAGACAGUUAUUUUGUUCGGAUGAUAAUUUCACAUCAGAAUAGGGAAUUUUACUGGUGGUAGGACCUCUUGUGAGUCCGCACGGGUAGGUACCACCACCCUGCCUAUUUCUGCAGUGAAGCAGUAAUGCGUUUCGGUUUGAAGGGUGAGACAAUCGUUAUAACUAUACUGAGAUAUUAGAACUUAUAUCUCAAGGUAGGUGGCGCAUUUACGUUGUAGAUGUCUAUGGGUUUUAGUAACCACCUAAUACCAGGUGGGCUGUGAGCUCGUCCACCAAUCUAAGCAAUAAAUAAAAAAAUUAGGAAAGAAAUUUAAAAAAUCUGUGUAAUCCUAUGCAACUAUUCUUGUGGCGAAAAAAAUAUCUUAUUGUAUCUUUCAAAACGGCGGGCGGAUUCAAGGCCCUUCCUCUAAGUCACGUCCACUUCAAAAGCAUACCGAGAAUCCUUUAAGCUAUAAACAAAAGUCAGUUGGUCUUUAAGUAAAAGAACGUGUUCCUGACUACCCAGUAUAGCUUAUGCGAAGAUUAUUCGGACGGGCCCAGCAUAAAUAUUAGGUUAUUUCGUAAACCGUCUUCGUAUAAAGGCAAUAUUUUUUAUUUACUUAAUAUUCACGUCAAAAAUUUUAGGCACACGAAUUUUGGUAUUAUUUAUGACGUUUAGGUCAGACAAUUUGACGUUCCGUUCUCUGAAUGACCAAACUUGUGUACACAUAGCUAUGAUGUUUCACUAAGAAAACGUAUAUAGUACAGGGCAAAGGCCGCGAUCUCUCUAUCCGAUGAUCUGCAAGCGUAGUAAAUUGUUCCUUCGUACUAAGGUAACUCACUAUAAAACAUGCGUACGUCCGGUCAUAACCUAUGCAAGUGUAGUGGUUUGCUCCAACAGCCCGCACUCAUGUAAACACCUUACAAAUUAUUCAAUGCCGUUUUUGAAGGAUAGCCAUCCGAGCACUGUAGUGCGGGAACGUAGAUUUACAGGACCAUUUCGAAUUAGAACUCAUAAGUAAGUGUAUGAAGUCAGCGUCGGAGCGCUACUUCAAAUAAACGGCGCAACACUAACCCUCUUAUUGUGGACAUCGAUAACUACAUUUUUUUUUUUUGUCAGGAGGAAAUCGCCGGUCUCUCACCCUCCACUCGGGAUGGUGGGCGGGGUAUGUCUGAGUCGAACCGACUAAAACCUCCUGUCGCUCAACAACCCACGUCCGAGCCUCGCAUGAUACAGAACUCAUGAAAAGGCAAAGGGGGGAGAGUGCAGCGUUUAGUGCGGGGCACAUCUCUCCCAUCAUCCUCCCCCUCGAUAGCUAUAUACCCGAUCUUACUGAUCAAACGGUAAGCCGCCGCCGUCACCUAAAACACGUCACUUCGGAUCCUUUCGAUCCACUAUCGGUGUUUUAGACAUUCCAAACACCGGUUACCGUUCUGGUUAGCCCGUCGAAUGCGAUGAAGGAUUCGUCAUGAAAAUUAUCCCACAGAAACAGCCCACUGAUUUUCUUGCCGGAUCUUCUCGGUGGGUCGCGAUUCCGAUCCGGUGGUAGAUUCAGCGAAAUACUGCCCUUAUUAGGGCUGGUGUUAGCAAAUCCGACAGGCUGAGUCUCGUGAUCUCGCCUACACGUCGCAUAGCCCCUCGAGGUUAUUAGCAUAAGGAGACAAUAAAAAAAGACUCCAAAUGAUUGUAUUUGAUCUUCACGUUGCUCAGUCAUUAAGACAGAAAUGAAGGUGUUAAAUUUUCAGGCUUUUACUGCCUUAAUUUUAUUAUUCCUUACGUUUUGAAUACUUAAGUUUUCUGGGUCAUGUACGACGAAGUACCCUGACUCAUGAAAACUGAAGAAAAUUCAAUAAAUCUCUAACAUACUAAAUACUAGGAAAAUGGAACUGGCUGCAGCAAUCGCCGCCAACGUGGGACUCUAGUGACGUCACCACACCAUCGACAUUGGCUAUGGAUGGAGAUGGAGAUGUUUGUCAUUUUGGAUUUUAGAAUGUUAAAGUAAAGUAAUUGACAAAUUGUAUUCCGCUGUCCAGUUUAUUCUUAUCACAAUGAUGCAGCAAUAAACUUACUUCGAGGAAAACGCAAAUUAACAUAAUACAUGUUAAAAAGAAUCGUGUUUCGUGCUGGAGUUUCUUUUGUCGCCACCCUAUUUCGGAGAAUUCAUCACUUAAUGUUAAAUACUAUGGAGAAUAAUUUGGUGAUGUUUUUCAAAAUGAAAUAUUUUUCACUCAUUUUUGUUAAAGAAAGUCUUUUGUAUUAUACAGUA